rnacentral:misc_RNA from 1 species
GCUGAAGAACGUAGUGAAAUGCGAUAAGUAAUGUGAAUUGCAGAAUUCAGUGAAUCAUCGAAUCUUUGAACGCACCUUGCACCCUUUGGCAUUCCGAAGGGUAUGCUCGUUUGAGUGUCAUUGUACUCUCACACUUCCAAUCUUUGGAUUGGGAGCAGUGGACUUGGGUGUUGCUGCUUACUGUGGCUCACCUCAAAUCGAUUCGUGCACCUCUUGGUUGGACAUAGUACGGCGUGAUAAGUGUCUUCGCCGGCACCUCAGUAGAGGGUGGCUGAUCAGGAGCUCUGUGCUUCAAACCGUCCUCGGACAAAAACUGACAACUUGACCUCAAAUCGAGUAGGACUACCCGCUGAACUUAAGCAUAUCAAUAAGCGGAGGA